rnacentral:rRNA from 1 species
UACGGAGGGCGCAAGCGUUGUUCGGAAUCACUGGGCGUAAAGCGCGGGUAGGCGGCUUGGCAAGUCGGGUGUGAAAGCCCGGGGACUAACCCCGGAACUGCAUUCGAAACUGCCUCGCUCGAGUCCCGGAGAGGAUGGUGGAAUUCCCGGUGUAGUGGUGAAAUACGUAGAUAUCGGGAGGAACACCAGCGGCGAAGGCGGCCAUCUGGACGGUGACUGACGCUGAGACGCUAAAGCGUGGGGAGCAAACAGG